AACGAACGCUGGCGGCAGGCUUAACACAUGCAAGUCGAGCGCCCCGCAAGGGGAGCGGCAGACGGGUGAGUAACGCGUGGGAAUCUACCCAUCUCUACGGAAUAACGCAUGGAAACGUGUGCUAAUACCGUAUACGUCCUUCGGGAGAAAGAUUUAUCGGAGAUGGAUGAGCCCGCGUUGGAUUAGCUAGUUGGUGGGGUAAAGGCCUACCAAGGCGACGAUCCAUAGCUGGUCUGAGAGGAUGAUCAGCCACACUGGGACUGAGACACGGCCCAGGCUCCGACGGGAGGCAGCAGUGGGGAAUAUUGGACAACGGGCGCAAGCCUGAUCCAGCCAUGCCGCGUGAGUGAUGAAGGCCCUAGGGUUGUAAAGCUCUUUCACCGGUGAAGAUAAUGACGGUAACCGGAGAAGAAGCCCCGGCUAACUUCGUGCCAGCCGCCGCGGUAAUAC
rnacentral:rRNA from 1 species